rnacentral:rRNA from 1 species
UACGGGGGGAGCAAGCGUUGUUCGGAUUUACUGGGCGUAAAGGGCGCGUAGGCGGUCGUGACAAGUCACUUGUGAAAUCUCCGGGCUUAACUCGGAGCGGUCAAGUGAUACUGUCGGACUAGAGUACAGAAGGGGCAACUGGAAUUCUCGGUGUAGCGGUGAAAUGCGUAGAUAUCGAGAGGAACACCUGCGGCGAAGGCGGGUUGCUGGGCUGAUACUGACGCUGAGGAGCGAAAGCGUGGGGAGCGAACAGG